rnacentral:rRNA from 1 species
UACGUAGGGUGCGAGCGUUGUCCGGAAUUAUUGGGCGUAAAGAGCUUGUAGGCGGUUUGUCGCGUCUGCUGUGAAAAUCCGGGGCUCAACCCCGGACUUGCAGUGGGUACGGGCAGACUAGAGUGUGAUAGGGGAGACUGGAAUUCCUGGUGUAGCGGUGGAAUGCGCAGAUAUCAGGAGGAACACCGAUGGCGAAGGCAGGUCUCUGGGCCACUACUGACGCUGAGAAGCGAAAGCAUGGGGAGCGAACAGG